rnacentral:rRNA from 2 species
GAGUUUGAUCCUGGCUCAGAAUGAACGCUGGCGGCGUGCCUAACACAUGCAAGUCGUGCGCGAAAGUAGACUUCGGUCUGCGAGUAGAGCGGCGAACGGGUGAGUAACACGUGGGUAACCUACCUGAGAGCGGGGGAUAACCCGGGGAAACCUGGACUAAUACCGCAUACUAUCUGGAGGCAUCAGUCUCCAGAGGAACNCUGGCCUAUGCUUGCAAGCCAGCACUUUCAGAUGGGCCCGCGGCCAAUUAGCUAGUUGGUGGGGUAAUGGCCUACCAAGGCGACGAUCGGUAGCCGGCCUGAGAGGGCGAUCGGCCACACCGGGACUGAGACACGGCCCAGACUCCUACGGGAGGCAGCAGUGGGGAAUAUUGGACAAUGGGGGCAACCCUGAUCCAGCAACGCCGCGCGGAGGAAGAAGGCUUUCGGGUCGUAAACUCCUGUCAGUUGGGACGAAAAGUCAUCGGUUAAUAUCCGGUGACUCUGACGGUACCAGCAGAGGAAGCCCCGGCUAACUCCGUGCCAGCAGCCGCGGUAAUACGGGGGGGGCAAGCGUUAUUCGGAAUUACUGGGCGUAAAGGGCGCGUAGGCGGC